rnacentral:rRNA from 1 species
UGGGGAAUUUUGGACAAUGGGCGAAAGCCUGAUCCAGCAAUGCCGCGUGUGUGAAGAAGGCCUUCGGGUUGUAAAGCACUUUUGUCCGGAAAGAAAUCCUUGGCUCUAAUACAGUCGGGGGAUGACGGUACCGGAAGAAUAAGCACCGGCUAACUACGUGCCAGCAGCCGCGGUAAUACGUAGGGUGCAAGCGUUAAUCGGAAUUACUGGGCGUAAAGCGUGCGCAGGCGGUUUGCUAAGACCGAUGUGAAAUCCCCGGGCUCAACCUGGGAACUGCAUUGGUGACUGGCAGGCUAGAGUAUGGCAGAGGGGGGUAGAAUUCCACGUNUAGCAGUGAAAAUGCGUAGAGAUGUGGAGGAAUACCGAUGGCGAAGGCAGCCCCCUGGGCAAAUACUGACGCUCAUGCACGAAAAGCGUGGGGAGCAAACAGGAUUAGAUACCCUGGUAGUCCACGCCCUAAAACGAUGUCAACUAGUUGUUGGGGAUUCAUUUCCUUAGUAACGUAGCUAACGCGUGGAGUUGACCGCCUGGGGAGUACGUCGCAAGAUUAAAAACUCAAAGGAAUUGACGGGGUCAUAGCUGUUUCCU